rnacentral:misc_RNA from 1 species
UCGAGCGUCAUUAACACACUCAAGCUCUGCUUGGUAUUGGGAAUCACUGGUCACCUAGUGUACCCUAAAAUCAGUGGCAGUGCCAUUCGGCUUCAAGCGUAGUAAAUCUCUCGCUCUGGAUGUCUGGGUGGUGCCCGUCAACAACAACCUAAAUUUUUCAGGUUGACCUCGGAUCAGGUAGGGAUACCCGCUGAACUUAA